GAUGAACGCUGGCGGCGUGCCUAAUACAUGCAAGUCGAGCGAACGGACGAGAAGCUUGCUUCUCUGAUGUUAGCGGCGGACGGGUGAGUAACACGUGGAUAACCUACCUAUAAGACUGGGAUAACUUCGGGAAACCGUAGCUAAUACCGGAUAAUAUUUUGAACCGCAUGGUUCAAAAGUGAAAGACGGUCUUGCUGUCACUUAUAGAUGGAUCCGCGCUGCAUUAGCUAGUUGGUAAGGUAACGGCUUACCAAGGCAACGAUGCAUAGCCGACCUGAGAGGGUGAUCGGCCACACUGGAGCUGAGACACGGUCCAGGCUCCUACGAGAGGCAGCAGUAGGGAAUCUUCCGCAAUGGGCGAAAGCCUGACGCAGCAACGCCGCGUGAGUUAUGGAGGUCUUCGGAUCGUAAAACUCUGUUAUUAGGGAAGAACAUAUGUGUAAGUAACUGUGCACAUCUUGACGGUACCUAAUCAGAAAGCCACGGCUAACUACGUG
rnacentral:rRNA from 1 species